UUGGAGGGCAAGUCUGGUGCCAGCAGCCGCGGUAAUUCCAGCUCCAAUAGCGUAUAUUAAAGUUGUUGCAGUUAAAAAGCUCGUAGUUGAAUUUCGGGGUUCUACCGUUGGUCGGGCUUUGUCUGUACUGGUGUGUAGAAUUUCUACCUUCUGGGGAACCAUCAUGCUAUUAAUUUAGCGUGGUGGGAAACCAGGACCUUUACCUUGAAAAAAUUAGUGUGUUCAAAGCAGGCUUAUGUCUGAAUACAUUAGCGUGGAAUAAUAGAAUAGGACGGUGGUCCUGUUUGGUUGGUUUCUGAAUCACCGUAAUGAUUAAUAGGGAUAGUUGGGGGCAUUAGUAUUCAAUUGUCAGAGGUGAAAUUCUUGGAUUUAUUGAAGACUAACUUCUGCGAAAGCAUUUGCCAAGGAUGUUUUCAUUAAUCAAGAACGAAAGUUAGGGGAUCGAAGACGAUCAGAUACCGUCGUAGUCUUAACCAUAAACUAUGCCGACUAGGGAUCGGACGAUGUUAAUUUUUCUUGACUCGUUCGGCGCCUUACGGGAAAC
rnacentral:rRNA from 1 species